AGAUAAGAAAAUAGACGCAGGAGUAGAGUAGGGCACAUGACCUGUCACACUUGUGCUGUCAUUCAAUAUGACCGUGGUUGAUCUCACCUCUUCUUCUGUGCCAGCUUCCUAUAGUUGUACCAUGCCCUGAUCUUUGAAAAUUUAUCCACUUGCUCUUUGUAUUCUCAAUGAUCUAGCCUUGGCAAAUCUUUGGCCAAGAAUUUCAGAAAUUCAUCUCCCUCCCUGAGGAAGUAUCAACAACCUCAAUUUUAAAUAACUAUUCCCUUGUAAAUCUGUCUCCUUGUUUUGUAAUUCUCCCACUGUUUGGAGUACUGCGCAGAUGCAACAGAAGCGUUCCCGUGCAGGUCUGGCUAAAGCUUUAAAAAGCCAGUCUCUGUGAAAGAGAGGUACAGCCUAGCAGGCAAUCAUCAUGGGAGCGGUCAUCAUCGUAGUAGUCUGAGGCAGGGUGGUAAGACUCUGUGUCAACAGGGCUUCGGCGAGAACAGGCGGAGGCAAGGAUUUCUUGAGCCAUCUGGACACAAGCUGGGGUCUGAUCAGCCCCAGCUAGGUCACCUGGAGGAGGUUGUUUGAUGUUGAAAGACCCGAAACACCCGAUGAUUCCAGGAACAUCACUGAAGAUGUGUCCAGAAGCAUCAAUAGAUAUCCUGAUUUUAUGAUCCUGACUGAGACCUGGUUAAAGCCAAAUGAAUACAGCCAUUCUUCUGAACUAUGUCCCCCUGACUACGACAGUUUCAACAUACCAAGGCAUAGUGGACUGGGUGACAGGCUUGCCACCAUAUUCUAAAAGCAUUUUAGGUGUACUCUACUGCCUGUCAACAAUUUUUCAAGUUUUGAGCUCAAGCUGGUAAAACCUGAGAUACGGACACAGCCGGGCAUACACAUUUUUCAAUUCUGAGGAACUUUCCGACUAUUCUAGUGGUGUUUAGUACUGUGGCUUUCUGCAGAUUUACAUAAAUAUUGCUGUGUAGGGUUAAUUGUUUAAUGCUAUUGCGAAGUGACUUUGGGAUGAUACCAGUUGUAGAUAUUACCAAUAGGACAAUCUACACUCUGUUCAUGUUCCAUAGCUUUUCAACUUCCUCUUUUAAUUCAGUGUAUUUCUGUUUGUUUCUCACUUACUGAUUUCUGUAUGCUAUGUGUAUUUGGUAUGGCUAUAUCUAAUAAAUAAGUUGUUCCUGCUUGUUUAUCCUGUAAUAUUAUAUCUGGAUAGUUAUUGUAGCUUGUCCUAUCUGUUGUAAUGGAUUGAUUGUAAUAUACUUUGUAACACUUUGACUCUAAAAGUGGGUCAGGCUUGCAUUUAUGGAAAGGUGUGGUGUAUUUUGUGAGUUUGUAUUUUAAAGCAAGAUCUUGGUGAAUAAAGUUUGCCACUUGACUGUGCCUGUGUAAAUCAUCAGAUUGAGUUAAACUGCUGCAGGAUCUGGUAAUGUGUUGGAUUGCUUCUGGUUUCUUCAGGCAUUUUCUACAUUUAUUGUUUUAAAUUUGUUGGUCUUUUAUUGUGUAUUUUGAUUUUUUUUGUGUUAACCACCUGGUCUUAUA